CACGUAGGGGGCAAGCGUUGUCCGGAUUUAUUGGGCGUAAAGAGCUCGUAGGCGGUUUGUCGCGUCUGCCGUGAAAGUCCGGGGCUCAACUCCGGAUCUGCGGUGGGGUACGGGCAGACUAGAGUGAUGUAGGGGGAGACUGGAAUUCCUGGUGUAGCGGGUGAAAUGCGCAGAUAUCAGGAGGAACACCGGUGGCGAAGGCGGGUCUCUGGGGCCGAUACUGACGCUGAGGAGCGAAAGCGUGGGGAGCAAACAGG
rnacentral:rRNA from 1 species